CUCCUACUUGGUGCAAACUAACAUCAGCUGGUUCAGUCCGAACUGAUGGCCUGUAACAAGGUGUCUCAUUACCAAGGUGCCACACAAGAAGCAUCUCAUGAUGGGUAAAAGCAGCUCUCAAGAUUGUCACAACAUACUGAUGGCUUUGGUUACAGAAGAAUUUCUAAAUUGCUGAAGGGUCCAGUGAGCAUUGUUGGGAUCAUAAUCCAGAUGAGGAAAACACAUAAUUUUACCACAAACCAAACACGACCAGGGGAUCCCUGCAAGGUUUCAGACAGAGGAAGAAAAGAAUUACCAGAAGAGUUGUCCAAGAGCCAAGGAGCACUUGUGGAGAGCUGCAGGAAGACCUGGAAUCAGCAGUCUUGCCUUGGGGGAGUGAAGGUGCAAUUAACAUGCAUCUCCUUUUGCUGCCCAAGUGACCUUUUCUUGUGAAGUCCACUACAGAAGAUGGUUGCAUCUUGACAUCUCUUCUGCAUAAGACUUGGCAGCAUGAUCGCUUGAAACUGGGCUUUUUAAGAUGAUCGGGGAAUUGUCUUGCUUUUGCAGCCUGCCUCAGGUAAUGAUUCAAGAAACCACAGGUUUUGGCACUGUUGCGUUGGCUUCAGUUUUCAAACCUGGAGACUGCUGCUUGGUUUCACAGAGGGGCAACAUCAAGACCAGAAGAAGAAAAAGCAGUUUUUUUCCUAAACUGUGUAUCCCACAAGUGUGACGAGCUCACUCUUUUUUGAGUUUAAUAAUUAAUGUGUGGAGCAGGAAAUGUGCAUAA